rnacentral:misc_RNA from 1 species
UUAAGGGAGACCAACUGAAAGGAUGAAGGAUGAACGAUGAAGGAUGAAGCUUGAAACUUCAGCCCAAAUCGCUUCAACACCCAAAAAACAACCUUCACCAUUCAGAUAUCCCAGGUCGAGCGAGAUUGGAAACGCUGGCUUUCAAACUAGAUUCGGUUCGGUAAAAAGUUCGUGCCAUCCGUGCUUUGGAGUUCGGUUGUGCCCACUCGGCAACACGUAUUGAGUUGUUAGAGUAAGCAAGUGCAAUAAAAUUAAAGCUUUAAAUCUUUCGGAUUAAGGAAUUCAGCAUCAGGCGAUAACAGCCUGAAUGCUGGACUCAAAGUCCAGUAGUGAACCUUGAAAACUGCAUAGCAACUUGUCAAAUGUAAUCAGAUUGCAUUCGUCUAUCAGUUCAAUAACUGGUAGUUGAGUGCAUCAAUUGCAGGUAGACACCAAUGAAGAAGUAAGU